UUUCUAUCACAAAUUUGUGUAGUUAAAGGAAUCACAACCCUUUCUCAGUGUCACCUUCUAUCUUGGCAGGAUGCCUAAUUGCGAUGCCAGCUUCUGGGAUGGACAUGGACCCAGGACCCGUCAUCACUGGGCAGGCAGGUGACACUGGAU
rnacentral:lncRNA from 1 species